UGCGGCAUGCUAUACAUGCAAGUCGAGCGAAUGGAUUAAGAGCUUGCUCUUAUGAAGUUAGCGGCGGACGGGUGAGUAACACGUGGGUAACCUGCCCAUAAGACUGGGAUAACUCCGGGAAACCGGGGCUAAUACCGGAUAACAUUUUGAACCGCAUGGUUCGAAAUUGAAAGGCGGCUUCGGCUGUCACUUAUGGAUGGACCCGCGUCGCAUUAGCUAGUUGGUGAGGUAACGGCUCACCAAGGCAACGAUGCGUAGCCGACCUGAGAGGGUGAUCGGCCACACUGGGACUGAGACACGGCCCAGACUCCUACGGGAGGCAGCAGUAGGGAAUCUUCCGCAAUGGACGAAAGUCUGACGGAGCAACGCCGCGUGAGUGAUGAAGGCUUUCGGGUCGUAAAACUCUGUUGUUAGGGAAGAACAAGUGCUAGUUGAAUAAGCUGGCACCUUGACGGUACCUAACCAGAAAGCCACGGCUAACUACGUGCCAGCAGCCGCGGUAAUACGUAGGUGGCAAGCGUUAUCCGGAAUUAUUGGGCGUAAAGCGCGCGCAGGUGGUUUCUUA
rnacentral:rRNA from 1 species